rnacentral:misc_RNA from 1 species
UACGUAGGAGGCAAGCAUUAUCCGGAUUAACUGGGCGUAAAGCGUGCGUAGGCGGUUUCUUAAGUCGCAUUUUAAAGCCUGUGGCUUAACCACAGAUUUGGAUGCGAUACUGGGUUACUUGAGGAAUGUUCGGGGUAUCGGAACAGUUGGUGUAGCGGUGAAAUGCGUUGAUAUCAACUGGAACACCGAAGGCGAAGGCAGAUACCUGGAAUUUUCCUGACGCUGAGGUACGAAAGCUAGGGUAGCGAAAGGG